rnacentral:lncRNA from 1 species
UAGUUUAUGUUUAUUUUCGUAGGACUUAAUGUUUAUCUUUGUUGUUUAUCGUGGGUGGAUCUAGGUUCAUUGAAUUUUGAAUCACGAGUUUGUAUUUAUCUUAAAAAAUUUUUAUUUAUUGGUACAGAGUUUGUAUUUAUUAUUCAUAAUUUCUAUUUAUCUACAUAGAGUUUGUAUAUAUUAUUCAUAAUUUUUAUUUAUUAUUUGAAGUUUAUAUUUAUCCU